rnacentral:rRNA from 1 species
UGGGGAAUUUUGGACAAUGGGCGCAAGCCUGAUCCAGCUAUGCCGCGUGCGGGAAGAAGGCCUUCGGGUUGUAAACCGCUUUUGUCAGGGAAGAAAUCUUCUGAGUUAAUACCUCGGGAGGAUGACGGUACCUGAAGAAUAAGCACCGGCUAACUACGUGCCAGCAGCCGCGGUAAUACGUAGGGUGCAAGCGUUAAUCGGAAUUACUGGGCGUAAAGCGUGCGCAGGCGGUUUUGUAAGACAGAGGUGAAAUCCCCGGGCUCAACCUGGGAACUGCCUUUGUGACUGCAAGGCUUGAGUGCGGCAGAGGGGGAUGGAAUUCCGCGUGUAGCAGUGAAAUGCGUAGAUAUGCGGAGGAACACCGAUGGCGAAGGCAAUCCCCUGGGCCUGCACUGACGCUCAUGCACGAAAGCGUGGGGAGCAAACAGGAUUAGAUACCCUGGUAGUCCACGCCCUAAACGAUGUCAACUGGUUGUUGGGAAGGUUCCUUCUCAGUAACGUAGCUAACGCGUGAAGUUGACCGCCU